ACAUUAUAAUACAAUAAUUUAAUCAAAAAUACAAUUAAAAAAAAAACAAUAUUCAAAAGAAUAGUUAUAUACUUAAUAUUUUAAAAUCAAAGAUAUUUUUGCUAAAAUUGAACUUACCUGGCCAAGGAGAUCGAUCAUCUUUUUUACGGAUCGAUCGAUUGUUGAGCAUGUGGUCGAUCCGAAAAUACUCUGCAGUUUAAUUAAAUAUCUAAAACACUUAUUCCAACAAUCAACAUAUAGUUUUGCUAAAUAUAAUAACUAGAUGGCCAACAAAAUUACAAAAAAAUAUAUUGAAAUAGUAAAAAAUAUGUUAAUUUAACGUGUUAAAAUUUAAAAAUAAAUUUUAUUUAUGACAUGCAUCUUAACAUUUAUAUAAAUAUAUAUCAUAACCUAAAUAUAAAUAAUUUAACAACAUAAAUUCAAAAAAAUAAAAAUCCCGAACGUAGCCCGAGUUAAUCCCUAGUCUAUAUUAAUAAAGUAGCCUAGAAAGGUUCCAGGUGAAGCGACGUCAGUGAAAGGGUUUCCUUUGUUUGACACGUGUCAGUAUAUGAAAAACUCACCAAAGCGUAUUUUCGUUUACCUUUUUCUCUUGUCUUUUUAUGUCUGAUUUAUAUUACGGGCUGUUAUGUGUUAAGUUUGUGGGCUUUCUAUUUUAAUCUGACCGGCCAAGUUGUGAUUAGGUUUUUUUUUUCACUUACGCAAAGAUGGAGAUUAAUGUCAAAACGCCGUAGUUCUUCACAUCUUACCGGUUCUGGCGCAAAGAUGGAGAUCGAAGGUUCGUAACGCCUUCAUUUAUCGUCACUUAAUCGAAGCAUUUACGUCUUCUUCAACACUCUGCCCACUCUUUUGAAUGAAAUCGGCCAUUGCAUCCUCCAUGGUAACGGCCUUAAGCUGCAUCUAUAAAUGGCUUCGUUCUUGGGAUGAAGAUUCAUAUCAAAACAAAAUCCCAAAGUUUUUCUCUGUGAAGCAUCAAAUCAAGCAAUGGCUCAUUCGUCUUUUCGAGAUCCAUCAGAAGCAUGAGGUUACUCUCCUGGCCGAUUUGAAAGCUUGAUGCUGUUCAAACACCUCGAAGUCCGUGUCCUUUGAUUCUGGAAAGCAAAAAGUGUUAAGAAAGGUGGCCAACUCAUGGGUGUCGACACCACUGUGUUUUAUUAAAUCUUUCGACAUAUCUCUCUAUAUUGAUAGUCCGAUCUUUUUUUUUUGGUCAAGCAGUCAACCCUCAUCCAAGGAACUGUCCGAUGCCAGUGGGCAGUGUUGUCACUUAUCGACAGUACCGACGCUUUUUCAAAGAGGGUUCUGUCUACUAGCUUAGUGGUUUCGACAUAGCACGGAGCCUCUAUCUCUAUUCAAUUAUGUGAUGGAAAGUCCUUUGUUGAAAUGACGAAUUCGGUAAGGCAAUCCCUACAAAGCUUUUAUGAUUCCGCAACCACGAGCAGUUAUUGGCGUUAGCAAAUAUAAACAAACAGCUACCAGGUUUUAAAUCCAAUUUCUUAAUCUACUAUUUCAUUACGCAUCUAUACAAUAUUUAAACGGCCGUGUUCCUAAAAAAUGGCUAGACAUCCUUGGCGAGGUCAGUGCAAUCAGGAGCACAAUCAAUGACAGAAUACACGAAACACAGUGUGUAAUGCUUACUCUACGUCUAUAAAGGUGUACAUCUGCAACUCCAGUGUUUGGUUUGCCAUAAAAUUUCACAUGUUAUCUUAUGCUACACUUAUCUCAUUACCGUUGCUACUUAACAGGAAUAUGAAUGUGUGAGUCAGUCUCUUCGAUGGCUUAGCUUUUGCACUUCACGAUAAAUUUGAAAGCUGCGGGUCUGAGCCAAAAUUAGUGAUAGUCACUAGCAUCAAUCCCAAGAUUGUUUGAGGCUGGCUAUUUUUCAACGGCACAUCUGGAACCCACAUCUGACUCUCAGACAGAUGUCUAAAAAAUCUACAUGAAAAAUUAGUAUUUUGUUAUGCUUUUAUUAGAUGGUCCACCUCGAGUGCGUAAAAUAUCUUGUAAAUAUAUCAUCUUACGGUACUGUGAUGUCAUCUUUAAACUCUUUAGGUUGAGUGGGGAUGCCUCAACACAGAAUGGUUCCUCAUCCAAGUUGUUUCAUGCUCAAAAAAUAGAACCACUCAUCUUUGAAGUUACACAUUUUCACUUGGAACACUACUGGUGCCGAGUUACCUUCCAAUACAAGAAAACGUAGCAGUAACAACGAAGAUUUACGACGAAAAUAUUUCCUUGUAAAUUUGCAAGGUGUUUACAACGCAAUUACGACGAGACCAAAAUUCGUCGUAAACUCCAUGGAACUUUAAGACGAAAGUGUUUCGUCGUAAAGUCCAUGUAAGUUUACGACGAAAGUACGUGGAAAGCGAAAAUAGUCGUAAACGUUACAUCGACAUUACAACGAAUCAUGUUACCGUUAUAUUUAGGUGAAAACGUGUAUUCAAUGUGCUUUAACUUACCUAAAUUUGUUGUAAAGUCGUUGUAAAUAUUAUGUUAAAACCAUGUAAAAUCCAUGUUAAAGAUUCCUUGUAAAAUCGUUGUUAUAUUUCAACUACCCAACUCGAAAAUUUCUCUAUAUAUAUGUCAUUUCCCACAACUCUCUUCCUCACAACACAAAACUCUCUUCCUCACAACACACAA